CUUUAUAAAGCUGGUGCUCCUGAGAGUCUGCACAAAUCCAACCUCGAGAAUUUCACUUUCUUGGAAAUAUUUUAUUAAUUCUGAAGGACCAGCGCGCAAGCAUGCGUUACCUAACCUUACUGAUGUGUUUUUUCAUGCUAACUGGACUGUGUUCAACACUUCCUGUGACUGACAGUGACCUGGGUGGGCUUGAGAGAAGAGAGCGUUCAGCCAGCUUCGAGG